CCUACGGGAGACAGCAGUGAGGAAUAUUGGUCAAUGGCCGAGAGUCUGAACCAGCCAAGUAGCGUGAAGGAUGACUGCCCUAUGGGUUGUAAACUUCUUUUAUAUGGGAAUAAAAUGUUCCACGUGUGGGAUUUUGUAUGUACCAUAUGAAUAAGGAUCGGCUAACUCCGUGCCAGCAGCCGCGGUAAUACGGAGGAUCCGAGCGUUAUCCGGAUUUAUUGGGUUUAAAGGGAGCGUAGGUGGAUUGUUAAGUCAGUUGUGAAAGUUUGCGGCUCAACCGUAAAAUUGCAGUUGAUACUGGCAGUCUUGAGUACAGUAGAGGUGGGCGGAAUUCGUGGUGUAGCGGUGAAAUGCUUAGAUAUCACGAAGAACUCCGAUUGCGAAGGCAGUUCACUGAACUGCAACUGACAUUGAUGCUCGAAAGUGUGGGUAUCAAACAGGAUUAGAUACCCUAGUAGUC
rnacentral:rRNA from 1 species